rnacentral:rRNA from 1 species
UACGGAGGGUGCAAGCGUUAUCCGGAUUUACUGGGUUUAAAGGGCGUGUAGGCGGAUUAUUAAGUCAGUGGUGAAAUCUCCGAGCUCAAAUCGGAAACUGCCAUUGAUACUAUUAGUCUUGAAUAUUGUUGAGGUGGGCGGAACGCGUCAUGUAGCGGUGAAAUGCAUAGAUAUGACGCGGAACACCGAUUGCGAAGGCGGCCCACUAAGCAAUGAUUGACGCUGAGGCGCGAAAGCGUGGGGAUCAAACAGG